GUGCUUGGUUUGGCAGCACAUAUUCUAAAAUUGGAACAAUACAAAGAAGACAAGCAUGGCCCCUGAAGAGUACCAUAUUUUAAAAAGAGAGAAUUAAAAUAUUAAA